GCAAGCAGGCGAGAGAGGAAG
rnacentral:misc_RNA from 1 species